rnacentral:rRNA from 1 species
CCUACGGGAGGCAGCAGUGGGGAAUAUUGCACAAUGGGGGAAACCCUGAUGCAGCGACGCCGCGUGAGUGAAGAAGUAUUUCGGUAUGUAAAGCUCUAUCAGCAGGGAAGAAAAUGACGGUACCUGAUUAAGAAGCCCCGGCUAACUACGUGCCAGCAGCCGCGGUAAUACGUAGGGGGCAAGCGUUAUCCGGAUUUACUGGGUGUAAAGGGGGCGUAGACGGCAGCACAAGUCUGGAGGGAAAUGCCGGGGCUUAACCCCGGAACUGCUUUGGAAACUGUGCAGCUAGAGUGCAGGAGAGGUAAGUGGAAUUCCUGGUGUAGCGGUGAAAUGCGUAGAUAUUAGGAGGAACACCAGUGGCGAAGGCGGCUUACUGGACUGUAACUGACGUUGAGGCUCGAAAGCGUGGGGAGCAAACAGGAUUAGAUACCCUUGUAGUC